UACGUAGGGUGCAAGCGUUGUCCGGAAUUAUUGGGCGUAAAGAGCUUGUAGGCGGUUUGUCGCGUCUGCUGUGAAAUUUCGGGGCUCAACCCCGAACUUGCAGUGGGUACGGGCAGACUAGAGUGUGGUAGGGGAGACUGGAAUUCCUGGUGUAGCGGUGAAAUGCGCAGAUAUCAGGAGGAACACCGGUGGCGAAGGCGGGUCUCUGGGCCGAAAUUGACGCUGAGGAGCGAAAGCGUGGGGAGCAAACAGGA
rnacentral:rRNA from 1 species